rnacentral:rRNA from 1 species
UGAGGAAUAUUGGUCAAUGGGCGAAAGCCUGAACCAGCCAAUCCGCGUGCAGGAUGACGGCCCUAUGGGUUGUAAACUGCUUUUAUACGGGAAGAACUCCCUGACGUGUCAGGGGCUGACGGUACCGUAUGAA